rnacentral:rRNA from 1 species
AACGUAGGGGGCGAGCGUUGUCCGGAAUUACUGGGCGUAAAGGGCAUGCAGGCGGUGCGCCAAGUCGGGGGUGUAAAGUUACGGCUCAACCGUGACCUUGCAAUCGAAACUGGCGCACUGGAGUGCGGGAGAGGGAAGUGGAAUUCCCGGUGUAGCGGUGAAAUGCGUAGAUAUCGGGAGGAACGCCAGUGGCGAAGGCGGCUUCCUGGCCCGCGACUGACGCUCAUGUGCGAAAGCCAGGGGAGCGAACCGGAUUAGAUACC